CUGGAGGCAAGGCAAUGGUGCUAGCUCUAUCUCAGCAACCAGCUCAAGAAUAUUAUCCAUAUCACAGCCAUUGACUGCCUGCACUUUCAUCAGUGGCUGACAUAGAAAUUGAAUGCAAUUGCCAGCAAUAGCAAGACUCAUAUUCUUGGUAAUCAGGAGAAUGGUUGCUGCUUCAAAGACCUGCCUGUUCUUCUAUGCUCAACAUAUAUGGCAAUAAAUAAGCAGUUAUUACAUCUUCCCUCUCUCCCUUUCUCUCUCUCUCUCUCUUUCUCAUUCUCUCUCAUUCUCUCCCUGCUCACAGGAAACUAACCUUGUAAAAGGGCUGUUGCCAAGGUUACUGCUUGGAAGAAUGAGAAGCCAUUGAACAAUAAUAUUAUUACAUUAACAAAGGAGAAGUCAAUUUGAAGAGAUAGCCAAACCUGCCCUGAUGUAGGAAAACUCAUCUAACUGUUCAUUACAACUUUUCCCCCUUCUCUUCCCCCCCUCCCCCUCCCCCUUGCAGUGGAGAAGUCAACAGGGAAAAGAAGAUGGGAGUCCUAAAAGUCAUUUUCUGUCCCAGUUCC
rnacentral:lncRNA from 11 species